rnacentral:ncRNA from 1 species
GCAGGGCCGUGAAUUCUCCGGCCCCCGGACGACGGUUCAGUACCCGGAACGCGACAAGACUGGCCAAA